rnacentral:lncRNA from 1 species
AUCCCAGGCUGUGAACACUGCUGGGCUAUUAUUACCUGGGGACAAGUCUGCCUUCCCACUGGAUCUGGGAGGGCAGGCUGGGUUCUGUUCACCCUCUCUGCCUUCUCCUCUGAGCUAACAACAUCUGCUAGGACCUGGGUUCAAAUCCAGAUGCCCCUAUCUUUGGAGCUCCUUAGAGCUGUGCCCUGAAACCCUCUGCCCUGCUGAAGAAUGGAGAGGACUCCCCCACCAGCACCUCCACCUAGGACACAUGGGAACUGUGGGACUUGGAGCAAAGUUUUCAAGUCUCUGUGCCUUAGUUUCCUCACCUGUAAGUUGGGGGAAUGAUAGUAACUGCUCUUAAGAGCUGCUGUAGGAAUUGAGAUCUUGCAUGAAAAAGGAUAAAACCAAUUGAUAUGGUUUAGUUCUUAGUCCCCACCCAAAUCUCAUGUCCAGUUAUGAUCCUCAGUGUAGGAGGAGGGACCUCGUGGGAGGUGAUUGGAUCGUGGGGGCAGUUUCUAAUGUUUUAGCACCAUCCUCCUAGUGCUGCUUGUUUAAAAGUGUGUAGCACCCCACCUUCCUCUCCUGCCGGCCAUGUGAAGACGUGCUUGCUUCCCUUUCACCAUCUGCCAUGAUUGUAAGUUUCCUGAGGUCUCCCCAGAAGCAGAAGCCUGUAUAGCCCACAGAAUCAUGAGCUGAUUAAACCUCU